UAGAAUUCUAGAAGACCCCAAAGUCAACAACCCUAAAUUUCCUCAUCUCUCCCGUCUCUCUCUCGUUCGAACGGGAUCAGCGAAACAGCAGAUCAGAACAACAGCAGCGCCAACGACCUUGGGUUCUUCUUCGGCGGCUUCUGAUUCCUCUCGCGCUCGGUCGUGUCCAGCAGCACCACCGCCAUAUCCCUCCAAUGAACAGAGCAGCAACCCCCUUUCUCCUCCCUUGGUCGAUGGCGAGCAGUAGCCGGCGGCGGUGAGCAGCGGACUGGAGUCCGGCGACUAUGACGGUCAGCGGCGACGUUUCUUCUCCGGCGAGCUCAAACAGUACGCGGCAGGGACAGUAGCAGGCAACGGCAAUUGGCAGCUGAGCUUGGGUUUGAAUAAGGUUUCCUAUUGAAGUGGUUAGCUUGAGAGUUGAGCCUAAGAUCGGUUGUUAGAGCUUGAGCUCGAGGAUCUGAAGUUUCUGGCUAGUUUGAGAGCGCGACGUAGAACUAGUUACCUCUUGGAGUUGACUCUUGGUUUAACGGUUUAGUAUAGAACCCAAAAUGUUGUAUUAUAGUUGAUUUGUAAAUUGGUUAGUGAAUUGUUGUAAUAUGAAUUGUAGUUAGAAAGCUUUGUAGCCUCUGCGUUUGGGCUUAGUGGUGGUCCAAGCGUGGCAUAACACUCCAUUGGUUUAGAGUUUGAAUUUGCUUCUGCAUUUAUCUUCAGUACGGUUAGUAAGAAAGAUUGUUUAUUUAUGUUUAAUCCUAUAGUAGAAAUUGGGGGUGUUACAGAUGACUUGCUGGUCAAAAGUAAGGAAGCAGCCGAGCAUUCCUCGGAUUUGAAAGCCAAUUUUGAGCUCAUGAAGAAAUAUAAUAUGCGGUUGAAUCCGAAGAAGUGUGCCUUCGCUGUGAAAGGAGGAUAAUUUCUAGGAUAUAUGGUCACACAACGAGGAAUUGAACCCAAUCCUGAGAAGGUAAAAGCAAUAUUGGACAUGAAGCCACCGACUACCUUGAAAGAAAUCCAAAGAUUGACUGGAUGCUUAGCGGCUCUCAACCGAUUCCUCUCAAAAUCAGCCGAGAGAGCCUUGCCGUUCUUCGAAGUAAUAAGGAAAAGGGAUAGCUAGAGUGGACCGCCGAGUGCCAGACGUCCUUCAAAGAAUUGAAAAAGUACUUGUUGUCCCCUCCCUUGCUAGCUAAACCUAAGGAAGGAGAGACCUUGUAUUUAUAUCUCGCGGUUUCUGACCAAGCACUCAGUUCAGUCCUUUUGCGUGAAGAGAACAAGGUGCAAUACCCUGUAUAUUAUGUGGGAAAACUAUUGAAGGAUGCGGAAAUAAGGUACACUCGAUUGGAAAAAAUGGUCUAUGCUUUAGUGGUUACCAUGCGACGAUUGAUCCCUUAUUUUCAAGCGCAUCUUGUGGAAGUGCUUACCGACCAGCCAUUGGCCAGUGUGUUAAGGAAUCCAACAUCCUCUGGACGAAUGGUAAAAUGGGCGAUAGAGUUAACACAAUAUGGCUUGGAAUACAAAUCGCUUCCCUCGAUAAAAGCUCAAGCCUUGGCAGAUUUCAUAGUUGAAUGUUCAGCUAAGGUGUCUGCGGGCGAUCGAUCCUUAAUCAAUGACCAGGCUGAUUGGUGGGUAUUGAACGCAGAUGGAGCAGCCAGUACAAAGCACUGUGGAGGAGGAGUUAUGUUGACAUCCCCAGAAGGCUUCAAGGUAUAUUACGCCUUAAUAUACAAGUUCAAGGCUUAUAAUAAUGAGGUCGAAUAUGAAGUCGUGAUCGGGGGUGUGUGACUGGCAAUUGCUUUAGGUGCUCGAAAAGUUCGGAUCCGCACGGAUUCCAGGCUGGUAGUCGGACAAAUUAAAGGAGCUUUUGAGGCCAAAGGAGAAAACAUGAGGCUGUACAAGGAUGUUGUCGAAGGGCUGCUCACCAAAUUGGAAACUUAUGAAAUCCAUCAUGUGCCGCGGUUGGAGAAUUAGGAGGCCGACAUCCUAUCCAAGUUAUCUUUGGGAGGGAUACCCGAACACCUGAAGCGAAUAUGCAAGACAGAGAUAGUUGAUAUGCCAAGUACGGAAACCUUGGUAAUCGCCGCAGUGUUCCCCCUAGAGGUGCGGACCUCGGAUGAUUGGAUUGAAGAGUUAGUUAAGUAUAUUACUCAAGCUGAACUCCCUAAUGAUCUCGAAAAAGCAGCUAAGAUAAAAAGAAGAGCGCCAACAUAUGUGAUACUAGAUGGACAGCUAUACAAAAAGUCUUUUGGCGGACCGCUGCUUAAGUGUCUACUGCCUCAACAAGCUCAGGAAGUGAUGGAAGAAGUUCAUCAAGGGGUUUGUGCUGCUCACCAGGGAGCUAACACUCUGACCAGGAAGUUGAUCAUUCAGGGAUACUACUGACUUAGUAUGGUUCAAAACUGCAUCCAAAAAGUUUUACGCUGUGAGGUAUGUCAAAAGUUCGCACAGAAGAAAACUCGACCGGCUACUUUUUACACCCCUAUCACCACUGCAAUUCCAUUUGCUCGAUGGGGGGUAGACCUUCUCGGACCAUUACUUGUGGCCCCUGGUUGACACAAGUUCUGCAUCAUGGCUAUAGAUUAUUUCACCCAAUGGAUCGAAGAUGAACCACUGGUCACCAUCACUGAGUACCAAUGUAGAAGGUUCUUAUGGAGAAAAGUCAUUUAUCGCUUUGGUUUUCCAGAACAUCUGGUUACUGAUAAUGGUCAGCAAUUUGACAAUCAAGCAUUCACCGAGUUCUGCUCAACAUAUGCCAUCCGACACACCAAAGUCUCGGUAGCUUAUCCUUAGGGUAAUGGACAAGUGGAAAAUGGCAACCGAACCAUUAUGGAAGGCCUCAGAAAGAGAAUUGAAGAAGAAGGCGGUGCUUGGGUCAACCAGUUGGAUUACACCCUUUGGGCUUACCAGACCACACCACGCCGAGCAACUAGAGAAACACCCUUCAGUUUGACCAGUGGGUUUGAGGUCAAGGUACCUGUGGAAAUCCUUAACCCGACUAGAAGGGUCCAGCUAUAUGACAAUCAAACCAAUGAGGAGACCAUGCAAAUAGAGAAAAACUUUCUGGAGGGACGAAGAGAUGUAGCGGAAAGAAGAGUGGCUGAGUACCAACGCUCAGUCAAAAGGUACCAAGAUGCCCGCACUAAACCUAAGUACUUUGAUAUCGGUGACUUGGUCCUGCAAGAUCGAGAAGCCAGUCAACCAACCAGUGGAGGAAAAAUGGCGAAGAAAUGGGAAGGACCCUAUAGGGUGUCCGCCAUUGUCAAACCUGGUACCUACAAGUUAGAAACGAUGGAGGGAGAAUUGAUUGAGCGUACCUGGAACUCUUAUCGUCUCAAAAGAUUUUACCAUUAACAUUUCCUUGUCAAUGUUAUCUCGUAUUUUAUUUAAUAAAGUUAUUUCCUUGCAUAUAAAUUUAAAGGAGUCAUUGGAUGGAAUACAGACCAACACGAUCAAAACGAAAGGAAGAUCAAAAGGCGUCCUGGUACAAAUAUCAGGCGAUCAUUCUAAAAAAGAAAGGUGGAAGGUAUGAAUGUAUAAAGAACAAGCUAACCAGAUAACUCAACUUGUUGAACAAGUUUUAUAAUAGAUUUUUUACAAAAUUCAAGCGGAGUGCUUAUAUGAAUGAUAGAAAAGCAAAAAAUUAGUUUGUCAAUUGGUUUGAGAAUAAGGAUGGAAAGGAAGGUGGAUGGUAACUUGGUAAUCGGUUAAGGACCAAGGAUGGAUAAAAAAGGUUAGAAUAAGUAUAAACUCAAGUUGAUGAUUAAGUCAAUACUUUAAGUUUUGCAGGAUGCCUAACCAGUAUGUGGUUAACGUAUUAGCCUUUCAGAAUAUGGCCUGGUGAAAGCAUAAUACUUCAUGUAUCCCCCUGAGAAAGAGGAUUUCAUCAAAAUGAUCGUUGGGUGAAAGAUUCAGCCUAACCAAUUUCAACCCAAUUUUUCCUACUAUGAGAAUAGGGACGCAACCACCGCCUGCACCGACGACUCUCACUCUCUCAGAUCUGUUUUCUCCGCGGGCCGUCGGCGUGAGCAGCGGUUGUGACGAGCAACUGCGUUUUCCUUCGCCCGCCGGAUCUCCCUCCCUUCAUCUGAGCAAUGGUUGCAAGCUGCGGCUACGAGCAACGUCAGCGACAAGUUUCCAGGUAUUGCAAGUAUGAGCUGCCUUAUAAUUCAGAUGACCUGAUGGUACCAUGCGAGGAGUGUAAAGCUUGGUAUAGAAAUAUUUUGAAUACAUUAUGCUAAUCGAUUAUCUUUGUAAACUUCUGAUAUGUGUGCUAGUUUCAUCCUCUGAAAAUUGAAUAAAAAGGAAAUAAGAGCUUAGAUGCCAAUCAAAUGUUAGGAAGGAAUUAGUAAAAUAUAGGCUUUCACUUGUUAAGCCUUAUAACUGCAGUGCUUUAAGUUUUCAAAUAUUUCAAGAAUUUUUUUAUUUCCUCUCA